rnacentral:rRNA from 1 species
CGGAGGAUGCAAGCGUUAUCCGGAUUUAUUGGGUUUAAAGGGUGCGCAGGUGGUUUAAUAAGUCAGUGGUGAAAGUCUGUCGCUUAACGGUAGGAUUGCCAUUGAUACUGUUAGACUUGAAUAUGGGUGAGGUAAGUGGAAUGUGUAGUGUAGCGGUGAAAUGCAUAGAUAUUACACAGAACACCGAUUGCGAAGGCAGCUUACUAAUCCAUCAUUGACGCUGAGGCACGAAAGCGUGGGGAUCAAACAGGAUUA